CAACCUGGAUGUGGCAUAUCGGCGAGGCCUCUUAUCAUCUUGACAUACAACGAACAACACGUGCCCUAUAGACCACGCCCACCGAGACACGCUUUAGAGUAAUCGCUGGCCCUGGAGGCGGCACUCAAACAGAGUGACAUCUGAAGAGGACACCCUUAUUAUCUUCACAGCUGACCACUCCAACGUGUUUAACAUCGGGGGCUACACACAGAGAGGUGACCCAAUCCUCGGCAUAUCUCAACCGCAGUCCGAUCAGCCGCCUCUCGAUGGUCUACCAAUCACUAUACUGAACUAUGGUAACGGUCCAAAUAGAGUCCUCCACGGAUCCAGGGUCAAUCUCACCGGCGUGGACACAGGUGCAAAACACUACCUUCCUGAGAGUGCUAUCCCUCUGGCCUACGAGACCCAUUCUGCAGAAGAUGUUGGGAUAUAAGCUCGUGGUCCUAUGGCACACCUUUUGUACGGCGUCAAGGAGCAGCAUUACGUUGCGCACAUGAUGCAGUACGCUGCGCGCGUCGGCGACUUCAGAAACUGUGUUCGAGACGAUGUGAAUUACGGACGACAACUCAUGCCAAGUCUCUGGGUUAUCUUCUUUACGAUGUAUUUGAAAUAUCUAACCAACGUUUGAUGAUAAUUUCUGUCGGGGGGAUAGAUUUUAUAUAGUCUCUAUAUAGC